AAAAACAUCGCCUCCUGCUAAACUUCAAUGUAUAGGAGGUCUUACCUGCCCAGUGACAAAAUGUUCAACGGCCGCGGUAUCUUGACCGUGCUAAGGUAGCGCAAUCACUUGUUUUUUAAAUGAAGACCUGUAUGAAUGGUGAAACGAGGGCUUAACUGUCUCCCCUUUCUAGUCAAUGAAACUGAUCUGCCCGUGCAGAAGCGGACAUACAACUACAAGACGAGAAGACCCUUUGGAGCUUUAGACGCAAGGCCAACCGUUAAUAGGACCAAGUAAAAUGGUAUAAAAAACAACAGCAACUGACCCGAGUCUUCGGUUGGGGCGACCAUGGGGAAAAGCAAAACCCCCACGUGGAAUGGGCCACCCCCCUGAGCUAAGAGAGACAUCUCCAAGCCACAGAACAUCUGACCAUUGAGAUCCGGCCAUCAUGGCCGAUCAACGGACCAAGUUACCCUAGGGAUAACAGCGCAAUCCCCUUCAAGAGUCCAUAUCGACAAGGGGGUUUACGACCUCGAUGUUGGAUCAGGACAUCCUACUGGCGCAGCCGCUAUUAAGGGUUCGUUUGUUCAACGAUUAAAGUCCUACGUGAUCUGAG
rnacentral:rRNA from 1 species